rnacentral:rRNA from 1 species
GGAUAGCGGAGAAAUUCCAAUCGAACUCGGAGAUAGCUGGUUCUCCUCGAAAUAGUUUUAGGACUAGCCUUGUUUCGUAGCAUUUGGGGGUAGAGCACUGAAUGAGGUAGGGGCCAACACGGUUACUGAACUCUAUCAAACUACGAAUACCAAAUGUGUAAGAACAAGAGUCAGACUGCGGGAGCUAAGUUCCGUGGUCAAAAGGGAAAGAGCCCAGAUCGUCAAUUAAGGUCCCAAAGAUAUAGUUAAGUGGAAAACGAUGUGAUUUUGCGUAAACAACCAGGAUGUUGGCUUAGAAGCAGCCAUUCAUUCAAAGAGUGCGUAAUAGCUCACUGGUCGAGUGAAGUUGCGCGGAAAAUUACCGGGGCUAAACUAUACACCGAAAUUGCGGAUUUGCAUAGAAAUAUGUAAGUGGUAGAGGAGCAUUCUAUAGUAGGACGAAGCAUAAUCGAAAGGAUAUGUGGACGAGAUAGAAGAGAGAAUGCCGGAAUAAGUAGCGAAAGCAUGGUGAGAAUCCAUGCCAUCGAAAGUCUAAGGUUUCCUGGGGAAGGUUCGUCCGCCCAGGGUAAGUCGGGACCUAAGGAGAGGCCGAAAAGCGUAUCCGAUGGACAGCAGGUAGAAAUUCCUGCACUACGUAAUACUUAAAAGACAUAAAUGACACAGGAGUGGAAGAUAAGCGAGGAAGAGGAAAGACUCGUAUCGAAAGAUAUAGUGAAAAUUAAAGUAACGAAUUAUCAAGAAGCUAAUGGCGAGAAAAGUUUAUGGAUAUUGUAUUAAGUACCCGUACCGCAAACCGACACAGGUAGAUGAGGAGAAGAUCCUAAGAUGAGCGAGAGAAGCAUUGUUAAGGAACUCGGCAAACUGACCCCGUAACUUCGGAAUAAGGGGUGCUGGAGUAAAAUCCAGUCGCAGAGAAUAGUCCCAAGCAACUGUUUAACAAAAACACAGGUUUCUGCUAAAUCGAAAGAUGAAGUAUAGGAGCUGACACCUGCCCAGUGCUGGAAGGUUAAGGGAAAGAGUUAGACGCAAGUCGAAGCUUAGAACUAAAGCCCCAGUGAACGGCGGCCGUAACUAUAACGGUCCUAAGGUAGCGAAAUUCCUUGUCAGGUAAGUUCUGACCCGCACGAAAGGUGUAAUGAUUUGGGAGCUGUCUCGACAAUGUACUCGGCGAAAUUGUAGUACUAGUGAAGAUGCUAGUUACCUGCGACAAGACAGAAAGACCCCAUGGAGCUUUACUGCAGCUUGAUACUGGGUUUCGGUAAUUUAUGUACAGGAUAGGUGGGAUGCUAAGAAGUAUGUGCGCCAGCGCAUAUGGAGCAGACGUUGGGAUACCACCCUUAAAUUACUGGAAUUCUAACUAUAAGUCCUAAGCGGGCUUGAGGACAAUGUCAGGCGGGCAGUUUGACUGGGGCGGUCGCCUCCUAAAGAGUAACGGAGGCGCGCAAAGGUUUCCUCAGCGCGGACAGAAAUCGCGCGAAAGAGUGCAAAGGCAGAAGGAAGCUUAACUGAGAGACAGACAUGUUGACCAGAUACGAAAGUAGGUCUUAGUGAUCCGGUGGUUGUAAGUGGAAAUGCCAUCGCUCAACGGACAAAAGUUACCCUGGGGAUAACAGGCUUAUCUCCCCCAAGAGUUCACAUCGACGGGGAGGUUUGGCACCUCGAUGUCGGCUCA